AACGAACGCUGGCGGCGUGGAUAAGACAUGCAAGUCGAGCGCGAUACUUCGAGUAGCAAUAUUCGGAGUGUUGAGCGGCGCAAGGGUGCGUAACACGUGGGCAACCUGCCUUGAAGCGGGGGAUAACUCCGAGAAAUCGGAGCUAAUACCGCAUGUGAAUUUUGGGAGGCCUCUUUCGAAAUUCAAAGCUGGGGAUCGUAAGACCUGGCACUUCAAGAUGGGCCCGCGGCCUAUCAGCUAGUUGGUGAGGUAACGGCUCACCAAGGCUAAGACGGGUAGCUGGUCUGAGAGGACGACCAGCCACACUGGAACUGAGACACGGUCCAGACACCUACGGGUGGCAGCAGUCGAGAAUUUUUCACAAUGGGGGAAACCCUGAUGGAGCGACGCCGCGUGGGGGAUGAAGGGCUUCGGCUCGUAAACCCCUGUCAGCCGCGAACAAUGCUUACGACCUAAUACGUCGUGAGUUGAUUGUAGUGGCAGAGGAAGGGACGGCGUAACU
rnacentral:rRNA from 1 species